rnacentral:tRNA from 1 species
AUUCAUAUAAUUCAAAUUAAGAAUAUUGCGUUGAAGGUGCAAAGGUGCUUAUUCAAGCUGUGAAUA